rnacentral:rRNA from 1 species
CCCUUAGAUGUCCUGGGCCGCACGCGUGCUACACUGACGCAUCCAGCGAGCACUUUCCAGUUCCGAGAGGCUACUGGUAAUCAUCAAUAUGCGUCGUGAUGGGGAUAGAUCUUUGGAAUUCUGGAUCUUGAACGAGGAAUGCCUAGUAAUCGCAGGUCAUUAGCCUGCGAUGAUUAAGUCCCUGCCCUUUGUACACACCGCCCGUCGCUACUACCGAUUUCGAGUGGUCAGGUGAAUCUUUCGGACUGUGGGCGCCCUUGAGGUGUUCGCGGAAAGUCAGGUAAAUCUUAUCACUUAGAGGAAGUAAAAGUCGUAACA